UCUCGGCCACCUCAAGGAUAAUCACUAAAUUCUGCCUAAAGGACUGAGGAACGGUGCCUGGAAAAGGGCAAGAAUAUCACGGCAUGGGCAUGAGUAGCUUGAAAUUGCUGAAGUAUGUCCUGUUUUUCUUCAACUUGCUCUUUUGGAUCUGUGGCUGCUGCAUUUUGGGCUUUGGGAUCUACCUGCUGAUCCACAACAACUUCGGAGUGCUCUUCCAUAACCUCCCCUCCCUCACGCUGGGCAAUGUGUUUGUCAUCGUGGGCUCUAUUAUCAUGGUAGUUGCCUUCCUGGGCUGCAUGGGCUCUAUCAAGGAAAACAAGUGUCUGCUUAUGUCGGUGAGUCCUUACAGCAGAUGUGGUGCCCCAAGUCGGGGAGAUGGUGCCUAAAUCCCAGGCAAGAUGUUUCUUGGUAGAUCACUUAUAGGCACAGAAAGAUCAUAGGAAAAUGAGAUUGGUACCUCAGAUCAGCCAAGUCUGCCCAGACCAAUAGUAUAUUAUGUAAGACUAGGGUCCCAUGGACAGGUGAAAGAGGGCAUUGCUAUCCCCCUUGUAGCCAUUUUUACACUGCUAAUAAUGACUUUUGUCAUUAUUAUAAUUCCCCUUGAUAGCAUUUUAUUUUUUCUUUAUGACUGGAUGAAAUCAGGUGUCAUCCAUCUUC
rnacentral:sRNA from 1 species